rnacentral:rRNA from 1 species
UGAACGCUAGCGGGAUGCCUUACACAUGCAAGUCGAACGAGAUUGCUGAGAAGCUUGCUUUUUAGUAAUUUAGUGGCAAACGGGUGAGUAACACGUGGGAAUCUGCCUAUCAGUACGGAAUAACACCUGGAAACAGAUGCUAAUACCGUAUAUUCUCUACGGAGGAAAGAUUUAUCGCUGAUAGAUGAGCCCGCGUCAGAUUAGGUAGUUGGUAGGGUAAUGGCCUACCAAGCCUACGAUCUGUAGCUGGUCUGAGAGGAUGAUCAGCCACACUGGGACUGAGACACGGCCCAGACUCCUACGGGAGGCAGCAGUGGGGAAUAUUGGACAAUGGGCGAAAGCCUGAUCCAGCAAUACCGCGUGAAUGAUGAAGGCCUUAGGGUUGUAAAGUUCUUUUAGUAGGGAAGAUAAUGACGGUACCUACAGAAAAAGCCCCGGCUAACUCC